UGCAAGCCCAACUCCAAAUGUUCUUGGCAGCAGAUCAAGACAAAAUAUCAAAAUAUAAUUCAAAGUGCAAACAGAAAAGUGUGAAAAAUGUGAAACUGGGAAUACACUGUGGCGGAGGAGUUGGCUCUGAGUGGUUAUAAGGGGUGGCCGAUCAUGGAUGGGGUUCAAGAUGCUGCACAUUCUGACCCUGGUGCUGGCUCCUCCAAGCAAGUGACACUGGGUGGAAACAGACUCUGUCAGGGCACUAUAUAAAAGGACCCUGGAACUAGACUGCACACUAAAGGAGUUGUAUUGCCAGCACGUGCCACAGCCUCUAGUCCCUGGCUGUCGGAGACACUUCUAAACAUCAGAUGCCAGUUCUCUACAAUACACCCAUAACCACUCUCUACCAACAUCCUGUGGUGAAUAAUUGGACCAAAUGACAUUCCAGGA